UCGAGCAACUCGAUGGCGGCCGCGUCGUGUUGCAGGGGCGAGGAGAUCAGCGGCCGCGGCGUCGACGUCAACCGGAUCCGGCGCCACAUCGGAAUCGUCUUCCAGGCGUACAACCUGUUCCCGCACAUGUCCGUGCUGCGAAACGUCACGCUCGCCCCGACGAAAGCGCUGAAGUUGUCACGCGCGCAGGCUGACGCCCAGGCGGAUGAGCUCCUCGAGCAAUUCGGGCUCGCCGACAAGCGCGACGAGUAUCCGGACCGGCUCUCAGGCGGUCAGCAGCAGCGGGUGGCGAUCGUGCGCGCGCUCGCGAUGCGGCCGUCGCUGAUGCUCCUGGACGAGGUCACGAGCGCCCUCGAUCCCGAGCUGGUCGGCGAAGUGCUGAACACGAUCCGUGAGCUCGCCGUCGGCGGCAUGACGAUGUUGAUCGCGACGCACGAGAUGAGCUUCGCCCGCGAGAUCGCCGACCAGGUCUGCUUCAUCGAUGCGGGCCUCAUCCUCGAGCAGGGCCCGCCGGAGAAGAUCUUCACGGCCCCCAACGAGCCGCGGACGCAGCAGUUCCUGCAGCGCAUCAUCGAGGCCGGGCGGCUCUAGCCCAAUCCGAACGCAGGGCGCCGGUCGUAGUACCGGAGGCAGAGCUCGAUACCCGAUCUCUGGAGAAGGGAGGACCACCAUGCGUCCACUCAUCGCCCUCCUGGCCCUCGUCGCUGCGCUAGCGCUAGGAGCACCCGCCGCCUACGCGACGAGUGCGACGGGCAGCGGCGACGGCCUGACCGUGACGGUCUCGCUAUCCGAUACCGCCACUGCCGGCGAACCGUUCACGGUCGCCGAAUCGAUCGCGAACACGACUGCGAGAGGGAAGCUCGUCCGGGUCACGCAGACCCUGGCAGGCCGAGCGGAACCCUGUUCUCGUUCUCGUACCCGUUCUUCGUGCCCGCGGGGAGAACGUUGGCUUUCAGCCUCACGUUCACGUUUCCCGAGGUGCCGGCCGGGACGUAUUCGCUAACGCUGAGAGCAGGCACAGCGAGCGCGACUGCGACGACGGUCGUCAGCUGAAGCGCUGAGACGAUUCUCGCCCUCGGACGACCGCCUCGGCGUCCGAGGGCGAGCCAACCCUCGACGCGCGCAAAAGGGUCAGCCGGAGCGUCGUGUCCGAUUAGACCAUAUGCUACAAUAUGGUCACGAUGGCCAGGAAGCAAACGCUCGUACAGCUCUCCGACGAGUUGCUCGCGCUCCUGGACGAGCGCGCCGCGAAGAGCGGGCGUUCGCGCUCGGAGAUCAUCCGCUCUGCAAUCGAGCGUGAGCUCGCAGCGGAGGCGCGAGGCCGCGAUCGACAAGGCGAUCGUCGACGGCUACA
rnacentral:misc_RNA from 1 species